rnacentral:rRNA from 1 species
GGUUAAGCGACUAAGCGUACACGGUGGAUGCCCUGGCAGUCAGAGGCGAUGAAGGACGUGCUAAUCUGCGAUAAGCGUCGGUAAGGUGAUAUGAACCGUUAUAACCGGCGAUUUCCGAAUGGGGAAACCCAGUGUGAUUCGUCACACUAUCAUUAACUGAAUCCAUAGGUUAAUGAGGCGAACCGGGGGAACUGAAACAUCUAAGUACCCCGAGGAAAAGAAAUCAACCGAGAUUCCCCCAGUAGCGGCGAGCGAACGGGGAGCAGCCCAGAGCCUGAAUCAGUGUGUGUGUUAGUGGAAGCGUCUGGAAAGGCGCGCGAUACAGGGUGACAGCCCCGUACACAAAAAUGCACAUACUGUGAGCUCGAUGAGUAGGGCGGGACACGUGGUAUCCUGUCUGAAUAUGGGGGGACCAUCCUCCAAGGCUAAAUACUCCUGACUGACCGAUAGUGAACCAGUACCGUGAGGGAAAGGCGAAAAGAACCCCGGCGAGGGGAGUGAAAAAGAACCUGAAACCGUGUAUGUACAAGCAGUGGGAGCACGCUUAGGCGUGUGACUGCGUACCUUUUGUAUAAUGGGUCAGCGACUUAUAUUCUGUAGCAAGGUUAACCGAAUAGGGGAGCCGAAGGGAAACCGAGUCUUAACUGGGCGUUAAGUUGCAGGGUAUAGACCCGAAACCCGGUGAUCUAGCCAUGGGCAGGUUGAAGGUUGGGUAACACUAACUGGAGGACCGAACCGACUAAUGUUGAAAAAUUAGCGGAUGACUUGUGGCUGGGGGUGAAAGGCCAAUCAAACCGGGAGAUAGCUGGUUCUCCCCGAAAGCUAUUUAGGUAGCGCCUCGUGAAUUCAUCUCCGGGGGUAGAGCACUGUUUCGGCAAGGGGGUCAUCCCGACUUACCAACCCGAUGCAAACUGCGAAUACCGGAGAAUGUUAUCACGGGAGACACACGGCGGGUGCUAACGUCCGUCGUGAAGAGGGAAACAACCCAGACCGCCAGCUAAGGUCCCAAAGUCAUGGUUAAGUGGGAAACGAUGUGGGAAGGCCCAGACAGCCAGGAUGUUGGCUUAGAAGCAGCCAUCAUUUAAAGAAAGCGUAAUAGCUCACUGGUCGAGUCGGCCUGCGCGGAAGAUGUAACGGGGCUAAACCAUGCACCGAAGCUGCGGCAGCGACGCUGAUGCGUUGUUGGGUAGGGGAGCGUUCUGUAAGCCUGCGAAGGUGUGCUGUGAGGCAUGCUGGAGGUAUCAGAAGUGCGAAUGCUGACAUAAGUAACGAUAAAGCGGGUGAAAAGCCCGCUCGCCGGAAGACCAAGGGUUCCUGUCCAACGUUAAUCGGGGCAGGGUGAGUCGACCCCUAAGGCGAGGCCGAAAGGCGUAGUCGAUGGGAAACAGGUUAAUAUUCCUGUACUUGGUGUUACUGCGAAGGGGGGACGGAGAAGGCUAUGUUGGCCGGGCGACGGUUGUCCCGGUUUAAGCGUGUAGGCUGGUUUUCCAGGCAAAUCCGGAAAAUCAAGGCUGAGGCGUGAUGACGAGGCACUACGGUGCUGAAGCAACAAAUGCCCUGCUUCCAGGAAAAGCCUCUAAGCAUCAGGUAACAUCAAAUCGUACCCCAAACCGACACAGGUGGUCAGGUAGAGAAUACCAAGGCGCUUGAGAGAACUCGGGUGAAGGAACUAGGCAAAAUGGUGCCGUAACUUCGGGAGAAGGCACGCUGAUAUGUAGGUGAAGUCCCUCGCGGAUGGAGCUGAAAUCAGUCGAAGAUACCAGCUGGCUGCAACUGUUUAUUAAAAACACAGCACUGUGCAAACACGAAAGUGGACGUAUACGGUGUGACGCCUGCCCGGUGCCGGAAGGUUAAUUGAUGGGGUCAGCGCAAGCGAAGCUCUUGAUCGAAGCCCCGGUAAACGGCGGCCGUAACUAUAACGGUCCUAAGGUAGCGAAAUUCCUUGUCGGGUAAGUUCCGACCUGCACGAAUGGCGUAAUGAUGGCCAGGCUGUCUCCACCCGAGACUCAGUGAAAUUGAACUCGCUGUGAAGAUGCAGUGUACCCGCGGCAAGACGGAAAGACCCCGUGAACCUUUACUAUAGCUUGACACUGAACAUUGAGCCUUGAUGUGUAGGAUAGGUGGGAGGCUUUGAAGUGUGGACGCCAGUCUGCAUGGAGCCGACCUUGAAAUACCACCCUUUAAUGUUUGAUGUUCUAACGUGGACCCGUAAUCCGGGUUGCGGACAGUGUCUGGUGGGUAGUUUGACUGGGGCGGUCUCCUCCUAAAGAGUAACGGAGGAGCACGAAGGUUGGCUAAUCCUGGUCGGACAUCAGGAGGUUAGUGCAAUGGCAUAAGCCAGCUUGACUGCGAGCGUGACGGCGCGAGCAGGUGCGAAAGCAGGUCAUAGUGAUCCGGUGGUUCUGAAUGGAAGGGCCAUCGCUCAACGGAUAAAAGGUACUCCGGGGAUAACAGGCUGAUACCGCCCAAGAGUUCAUAUCGACGGCGGUGUUUGGCACCUCGAUGUCGGCUCAUCACAUCCUGGGGCUGAAGUAGGUCCCAAGGGUAUGGCUGUUCGCCAUUUAAAGUGGUACGCGAGCUGGGUUUAGAACGUCGUGAGACAGUUCGGUCCCUAUCUGCCGUGGGCGCUGGAGAAUUGAGGGGGGCUGCUCCUAGUACGAGAGGACCGGAGUGGACGCAUCACUGGUGUUCGGGUUGUCAUGCCAAUGGCACUGCCCGGUAGCUAAAUGCGGAAGAGAUAAGUGCUGAAAGCAUCUAAGCACGAAACUUGCCCCGAGAUGAGUUCUCCCUGACUCCUUGAGAGUCCUGAAGGAACGUUGAAGACGACGACGUUGAUAGGCCGGGUGUGUAAGCGCAGCGAUGCGUUGAGCUAACCGGUACUAAUGAACCGUGAGGCUUAACCUUACAACGCCGAAGGUGUUUUG